UGCCGUUCAAGAACUGAAGACCUUCUACUUCCUCAUCCUGCAACAAAAUGGUGAUGGCCGAUCCAUCCGCAUGCGGUUUCACGCCAAGAACAAGAUCCGGAUUUCGACAUCGAGGGUAGAAAUUGAACCUGUACUCGUGAAGAACUUCCCUGCAUUGUUCAUCACAAAAAUCAACUCGUUUCGGCAGAUUCUUCGGAAAAUCGUUAAGGUUUGAGAAAAGUACCUGAAUCUUUCAGGAUUUGUUGGCCAGUACUUGAAUCGAUGGCUUUCUUUUGGAUAUACAGUAAGAUGCAGAGUCAAUGGACUAGGUCGACCGAUUAGGGUUUAAGAAAUCGAACCUGAAAGCAGCCCCAUGAUUGAAGUCCAUGACGGAGUUUCUCCAGUUCUGGUCCGGAUUUGGAGGAAGAGGAGAGGAGAGC